UACCAGCACCCCGAGUGGUCGGGACGUUUAUUGGGCCUAAAGCAUCCGUAGCCGGUUCUACAAGUCUUCCGUUAAAUCCAACUGCUUAACAGGUGGGCUGCGGAAGAUACUAUAGAGCUAGGAGGCGGGAGAGGCAAGCGGUACUCGAUGGGUAGGGGUAAAAUCCGUUGAUCCAUUGAAGACCACCAGUGGCGAAGGCGGUUCUCUGGGCCUUACCUGACGCUGAGGAGCGAAAGCGUGGGGAGCGAACAGG
rnacentral:rRNA from 1 species